rnacentral:rRNA from 1 species
AGGAGGCAGCAGUGGGGAAUUUUGCGCAAUGGGCGAAAGCCUGACGCAGCAACGCCGCGUGAGUGAUGAAGGCUUUCGGGUCGUAAAGCUCUGUCGAGGGGAAAGAAGUGUAUUGUGGUUAAUACCCAUGAUACUUGACGGUACCCCUAAAGGAAGCACCGGCUAACUCCGUGCCAGCAGCCGCGGUAAUACGGGGGGUGCAAGCGUUGUUCGGAAUUAUUGGGCGUAAAGCGCGUGUAGGCGGUUUGAUUAGUCUGAUGUGAAAGCCCUGGGCUCAACCCAGGAAGUGCAUUGGAAACUGUCAGACUUGAAUACGGGAGAGGGUAGUGGAAUUCCUAGUGUAGGAGUGAAAUCCGUAGAUAUUAGGAGGAACACCGGUGGCGAAGGCGGCUACCUGGACCGAUAUUGACGCUGAGACGCGAAAGCGUGGGUAGCAAACAGGAUUGGAUACCCUGGUAGG